rnacentral:rRNA from 1 species
UACGGAGGGUGCAAGCGUUAUCCGGAUUCACUGGGUUUAAAGGGUGCGUAGGUGGGCAAGUAAGUCAGUGGUGAAAUCUCCGGGCUUAACCCGGAAACUGCCAUUGAUACUAUUUGUCUUGAAUACUGUGGAGGUCAGCGGAAUAUGUCAUGUAGCGGUGAAAUGCUUAGAUAUGACAUAGAACACCAAUUGCGAAGGCAGCUCACUACGGGAUCAUUGACACUGAGGCACGAAAGCGUGGGGAUUAAACAGG